GGCCUGCGCGGAAGAUGUAACGGGGCUAAACCAUGCACCGAAGCUGCGGCAGCGACACUCAGGUGUUGUUGGGUAGGGGAGCGUUCUGUAAGCCUGUGAAGGUGUGUCGUGAGGCAUGCUGGAGGUAUCAGAAGUGCGAAUGCUGACAUAAGUAACGAUAAAGCGGGUGAAAAGCCCGCUCGCCGGAAGACCAAGGGUUCCUGUCCAACGUUAAUCGGGGCAGGGUGAGUCGACCCCUAAGGCGAGGCCGAAAGGCGUAGUCGAUGGGAAACGGGUUAAUAUUCCCGUACUUGGUGUUACUGCGAAGGGGGGACGGAGAAGGCUAUGUUGGCCGGGCGACGGUUGUCCCGGUUUAAGCGUGUAGGUGUGUGUUCCAGGUAAAUCCGGUUCACUUUAACACUGAGGCGUGACGACGAGGCACUACGGUGCUGAAGCAACAAAUGCCCUGCUUCCAGGAAAAGCCUCUAAGCAUCAGGUAACAUCAAAUCGUACCCCAAACCGACACAGGUGGUCAGGUAGAGAAUACCAAGGCGCUUGAGAGAACUCGGGUGAAGGAACUAGGCAAAAUGGUGCCGUAACUUCGGGAGAAGGCACGCUGACACGUAGGUGAAGUGAUUUACUCAUGGAGCUGAAGUCAGUCGAAGAUACCAGCUGGCUGCAACUGUUUAUUAAAAACACAGCACUGUGCAAACACGAAAGUGGACGUAUACGGUGUGACGCCUGCCCGGUGCCGGAAGGUUAAUUGAUGGGGUCAGCGCAAGCGAAGCUCCUGAUCGAAGCCCCGGUAAACGGCGGCCGUAACUAUAACGGUCCUAAGGUAGCGAAAUUCCUUGUCGGGUAAGUUCCGACCUGCACGAAUGGCG
rnacentral:rRNA from 1 species